rnacentral:rRNA from 1 species
CCUACGGGUGGCAGCAGUCGAGAAUCUUCCGCAAUGGACGAAAGUCUGACGGAGCGACGCCGCGUGCGGGAUGAAGGCCCUUGGGUUGUAAACCGCUGUCAGAGGGGAUGAAAUCUUCGGAGGUACUCCUCCGGAGUUGACAGAGCCUCAAAGGAAGCACGGGCUAAGUACGUGCCAGCAGCCGCGGUAACACGUACUGUGCGAAUGUUAUUCGGAAAAACUGGGCUUGAAGGCGGCGUAAGUGGGGUGUGAAAUGCCUGAGCUCAACUGAGGCAUUGCGUUUGAAACUGAAUUGCUAGAGUAUUUCAGGGGUGUGCGGAACUGCCAGUGGAACGGUGAAAUGUGUUGAUAUUGGCAGGAACACCGGAGGCGAAAGCGGCACACUGGGGAAUAACUGACGCUGAGGCACGAAAGCCAAGGGAGCGAACGGGAUUAGAUACCCCGGUAGUC